UACGGGGGGGGGCAAGCGUUGUUCGGAAUUACUGGGCGUAAAGGGCUCGUAGGCGGCCAACUAAGUCGGACGUGAAAUCCCUCGGCUUAACCGGGGAACUGCGUCCGAUACUGGAUGGCUUGAGUUCGGGAGAGGGAUGCGGAAUUCCAGGUGUAGCGGUGAAAUGCGUAGAUAUCUGGAGGAACACCGGUGGCGAAGGCGGCAUCCUGGACCGACACUGACGCUGAGGAGCGAAAGCCAGGGGAGCAAACGGG
rnacentral:rRNA from 1 species